UCUGUCUCAUUCCCAUCUCUGUUUCCCUCCCAGCCCCACAGCUGUUCCCACUCCAGCAGACCCGACUCCUGCUCAGUGCACCAUCUACGUCCAACCCCUUUCCUCCAUCACUGCAGGUCAACAACAGAGAAAACUGGAAAUGCCCCAUGAGGGGGAGAUUACAGCCAAGAAAGAUCGUUCCUGCAAGGUGCCAAGUGUUGUCUCACCAGCGUUCGCCUGGACUGCUUUCAUCUGGCUGGAUGGUGGAACCCCCAUCCCCAGCACUGACACCAUUUGCGAUGUUUCAUGCCACGCAAUCCAUCAUUGCUCCUGAGAAAUUUUCGCCUUUCAUGCUACCCAAGCCUGAAAGCCAGAAACUCUGCAGUGAGGAUGUGGUGAGGUGUGAAUGUACACUUCAUUUCCAAGUGGUUCUUUUCCCCUCAUGUGCUGCACUUUACCAGCAAAGCAGUGGGCACCAUUCUCUGUGCUUUGGCCCAUGUAAUUAUGUGUUUUCUAGCUGUGCUCGGUCAAAAGUAAUCAUGGAGUUAUAACCUCAGUUGGGACAGAAAUCAAUCAGUUUAACAAGUUGACUUGUGUGUGAUUACAGAAGAUACAUUCUGCCACUGAUUUGUUCUGCCAUCCUUUUGCCCUCCUAAGUGGAACACACUGCGGGGACGUAUGAAGCCAGUGAGCUGUUGGUGGUGGCACAGCCUGCCCGUCCUGCUGGGGUGAGAUACAUGUACAGCUGAUGGAUGUGAAGGGACUUCUCCCUCCAGGGAACUGGGAUGCAUUUAGCUGCAGACUGCAUAUCUACCUUAGGCACCUUGUGACCCCUGCCUUGGGUGUGUUUUUAUAGAAUUAGGGAAUUAUCAGAUCUGGAAGGAGAAUGUGUGUAGGCUGAUCUGCCAGCACUGCUGUGCACUUGUACCCAACUGCAGACACAUCCCUCGCUCUGUCCCUUCGCCUCUCCUGUAUUCCCCAACUCAGACUUCGCCUUGUUCAGCAACAAAGAAAAUGCCUUCAGAAAUGUUGUUGCCCUGAUACAGCAGGAGGCUGUGACAGAUACAGUCACUGCUGGGGAACGAGCGCACAGCAAUGCUGCGCUGUCUGUGCCAUUAUUGUUCUCUGCUGCAAACUGGAAGCGACCGAGAGCAGGGCAAGGCAGCAGCCCUUCUGUAACAGCCCUCCCGGGAUGCACACAUGGCUCCAGUGGUGCAGGAUGUGCACAAUGGGCAUGGCUGGCAGCUUCUGCCAUGAGGACGAUGACAAAAUCCCUCCUCUGGAUUUCGCCUCCGUAUCUCAUACCCUCUCAGUGACUGACAUUCAAACUGUUGGCUUUUAAAAAAUCAAGAAAGGAAGAAGGGAAUAUGUAAACUUCCAGGGCAAAUUGUGUUGAAAAAUUAAAGAGUGAUACAGUGAUUGGCUCCAGGCUGGUCCUGCAAGGGUUGAUUCUCAUGGGAAUAGUUACGACUUCUCUGAGGAUUCUUCUCAUUAGGGUUUGUUAUGGAGAAGUCAGUGUGCAUUCCCUCUGUGAGCAGUGAGAGCUGUGGCACUGCCACAGUGCUGCACUCAGCUCUGAAACUGCCGGCAGCAUUUCCAGGCACAGAUUCACAGACUGAUGGAAGGACAGCCCACCUCUGGCCGUCUCUGCGUUUGUAAAUCCUGUCUGGACUCAAAUGAUAUUCUGGGGAACGCAGGUCUUGACCACACACACUGUCAAUACAGGACCUUGGACUUGAACUUUGUGCCUUGGACUUCAGCUUUGUGAGCCCUUAGACAGUCCUUCUGCAGCUGCAUCAGCCCACACACAGUCACAGCUCUCAGUUGGGAGGUGGCAGGCACAAAGCUGGCACUGGCUCUGUGAUUAUUUCUCUGCAAAGUCAAACAGGGCCAAAAAUAAAUGCUAGUGAAGGAAUAAACAGACGUGAAAAGAAGGCUUGGACACUUGGAGGACAAGACUGCUUUGUGUUUCCCAAAGCAAUAAGCCUCUUGACAAGGAGGUUACUCUUUCAGAAAAACACGAGUCCUGUGACAGUGCCAAGCUCUUUCUACAGGGUUUGAACGUGCACCAGUUUGGCAGCAGAAGACAGCUUCCAUCUAUCUCAGAUAGCAACGUGGCCCCAGCACUAUGGCUGUAUCACUUGCAUGCUGGCUUGGGAAGAGGGCCGUGCUGCUGCCGCUCUGGAGGAAGCAGGUAAAGAGAGGACAUGUGUCACUUGCAGAGUCCUGGCAAUAAGGCCUGGAUUUUUAAAGGUGCUUUGCGUUUUUCAGAAGUCCCUUGUGGACAUGGCUCUCUCUUCUUGUGCUGGUCUAAGCACAGUCUAAGCUAGGCCUCUGCUACCUGUCUGCACAUCUCAGACUGGUCAGCUGCAGUCUGGAUGGGCUUUGCUUUCUGCAGGAAAUUGGCAGAAUUCAAAGCAAAUAGGCAGGUACGGGCAUCCUGCGUUCUGGUAGGCAGAGCUGGUUAGCAGAGUGCUGCGGUGAUCUUGGUGGGGGUAGGAAGCGUUGGACCUCACUUUAGGGACUUAACUGGACUCUCCAUCCAGUGCAGUAUGUUUUGAAUUGUGGCCUUUUAGGCUCUUUAUUGUCUCAGUUGGAUACAGAAUGAAAAUGCUGAGUAAUACUGAGCAAUGAUAAGAUUGUGCCUCAUGCACAAAGGGGAGUGCAGUUCUUUCACAGCCUCUAAAGCACCAAGUUGUGAGCCAGCCAAAGCCUCUGAGAACUCUGGGUAAGAAACACAGCUUUUAAAGGCACCUUGUUAGGACUGAAUCUUCAGCACCCUCUGUAGUGACACACAGACUCAUCUCAAAGAGGGCAAAUGUUGAGAAAUUAAGGGAGCUAAUUAGUGGAAUCAGCUGCACUGCAGAGCUGAGGAAUUGAAUGUGAUGGAACUUGGAUUCCAAAACGAGCUGAAACAUGCAGGAAGUUUAACCCUGACAGGAAAUGCUCCAACCCCAGUGGGAUAAAUAACCAGCCCCAAACACAUGGGGAGCAUUAACUGACAUGCAGAAGUUCUGACUGGCAUGAGGGUAUUCUGCUGGCAUGCAGCUAGGGAUUGAAAUCAGAUGUCUGGAGAGGAACUGCUACAGAGUACGAUGCUCUGCUCUGCUCUUUGAUGGAGUCCAUCACUCUUAUCACAGGGCUGACAAAGCAGCUUACCCUGCAGGUCCUGAACAGCCACUACUCCAGUGAUGUGUCCAGGGCAGCAGUUCUGGACCUGCCUUAUGAUUUACUGCCACAAAGGUGGCAUUGGAGAAAAGUGGUGGAGCAAAAGACUGGAGGCAGGAUUUGCCUCAGUCGUCCAGUUUGAAGUUGCUGGGAUGGGGAAGGUAGAGACAGAAUGAAACGUCAAAGGUGAGCUUGCAAAUUGGACUUGAAAAGGAAAUUAGAACAGAUGGCAGAGGGUUUCAACUGGAGAAAUAAAAAGAGGAGAAACGUGGUCAUUACGGAGUGAGAAUGGGGUUGAGAUUAGACCCAACUACAUAUAGUCUAAAAAUGAAUUAAGAACACCUUGUCCACAUUUUCAGUAGAGAUGAUCAUAUUGAGCAGUGGGACAAAGACAGGAUUUCUAGUGGGAAUAUACGUAAGGGAAUGAAAAUCAUCGCAUGUAAGGUGGAAAGAAAAGCAUGAAGAAUUCAGUGUGCUCAGGUGAAGGUGCACUGGCAGAUUUCCAUCCCAGGAUUUGGCACAUGAAAUGAGUUCAGCUUACCCUGAUAUUUCUCUUUGAUGACUGAUUUUUUUUUUAGGCAAAUGAAAUACAGGUGAUUUACUCUAUCCAGACUUGAGUGAAGAAUCUGAUAUUAUACCACAGGGGAAAUUACUGGUUGAAGUUGAGACGAUGGGGAUUAGUGUGGAUGGUGAAUGCAAAACUGUUAAAGUGCAGAGGAGAGGGGAGCUGUGAGAAGAGAAGAAAUGCCAGACAGAGGCAGUCAGUAAGUGGAACUCCUCAGGAGUCAGUGUUCAGUCUUGCUUGUUUCAUUAACGAGUCUGGUACAGCAGCAGGAAUAUAGUAAAGAAAUCUGCUGAGGACACGGGCUUUCUUAAUACAGAGGAUGAUCGGAGCAUCAGUCAGCAAUGAGUGAAUGACAGAAUUCAUCUGAAAUAGAAUGGACAAAGUAGUAAGACGUGCAGUUAGAAAUUAAUAACUAGAAUAUCAUAUUACUCACUUGAAGAUGACAAAGGCAGGGGGGUGGAAAAAAACCCGCAGAGCUUACUUGCUCCCAGGGAUAACUGUGAGCCACCAAUCUGAUAUGGAGAGGCAAACACAAUCCUAGAAGGUACAGGUUCACUCAUGUUUGAGGAAGAUUAGCAGGUACAGAGAAGGGCACUGAGGAUGAUCAGAGGGUUUAGAACAAGAGGAGACUAGAAGAGUUUCAUUUGUUUAGUUUUCCAAAACAAAGGCUAGAGGAGAUAGGAUUGUUUUCAGUAAAUAUAUCUGAUAGGUAAAGAUCAGAGGAAAAAGAGAAUUGUUUAAACUAAAUUAUGAUGCUGGCACAAGAACAAAUGAUAUUAAAGCUGAAAAUUUUAAAUGAAGUGCUGGGACAGCCUGCCAAAAAGCACAAUAUG